AGCGAACGCUGGCGGCAGGCUUAACACAUGCAAGUCGAGCGGGCAUCCUUGUGGUGUCAGCGGCAGACGGGUGAGUAACGCGUGGGAACGUGCCCUUCGGUUCGGAAUAACUCAGGGAAACUUGAGCUAAUACCGGAUACGUGCGAGAGCAGAAAGGUUUAUCUGCCGAAGGAUCGGCCCGCGUCUGAUUAGCUAGUUGGUGAGGUUAUGGCUCACCAAGGCGACGAUCAGUAGCUGGUCUGAGAGGAUGACCAGCCACACUGGGACUGAGACACGGCCCAGACUCCUACGGGAGGCAGCAGUGGGGAAUAUUGGACAAUGGGGGCAACCCUGAUCCAGCCAUGCCGCGUGAGUGAUGACGGCCUUAGGGUUGUAAAGCUCUUUUCUCCGGGACGAUAAUGACGGUACCGGAGGAAUAAGCCCCGGCUAACUUCGUG
rnacentral:rRNA from 1 species